rnacentral:rRNA from 1 species
UUCCAGACUCCUACGGGAGGCAGCAGUGGGGGAUAUUGCACAAUGGGGGGAACCCUGAUGCAGCGACGCCGCGUGAGCGAUGAAGUAUUUCGGUAUGUAAAGCUCUAUCAGCAGGGAAGAAAAUGACGGUACCUGACUAAGAAGCCCCGGCUAACUACGUGCCAGCAGCCGCGGUAAUACGUAGGGGGCAAGCGUUAUCCGGAUUUACUGGGUGUAAAGGGAGCGUAGACGGCGGUGCAAGCCAGAUGUGAAAGCCCGGGGCUCAACCCCGGGACUGCAUUUGGAACUGUGCUGCUAGAGUGUCGGAGAGGAAGGCGGAAUUCCUAGUGUAGCGGUGAAAUGCGUAGAUAUUAGGAGGAACACCGGCGGCGAAGGCGGCCUGCUGGACCGUGACUGACGUUGAGGCCCGAAAGCGUGGGGAGCAAACAGGAUUAGAUACCCGUGUACU